UACGUAGGGGGCUAGCGUUGUCCGGAAUCAUUGGGCGUAAAGCGCGUGUAGGCGGUCCGGUAAGUCCGCUGUGAAAGUCGAGGGCUCAACCCUGGGAUGCCGGUGGAUACUGUCGGACUAGAGUACGGAAGAGGCGAGUGGAAUUCCCGGUGUAGCGGUGAAAUGCGCAGAUAUCGGGAGGAACACCAAUUGCGAAGGCAGCUCGCUGGGACGUCACUGACGCUGAGACGCGAAAGCGUGGGGAGCAAACAGG
rnacentral:rRNA from 1 species